rnacentral:sRNA from 1 species
UUUCCGCAUCCUUUUGUGGCGUCAUUCAAUCCAUCAUCUCGUCUUUGAGUCGUGUGUCGUCUCUAUUUCGAGAAUAUCCACUCCAGAUCUUCCAAGUGCCGAAAUUGGGAUUGAUUCCUCACCAGGAUCAUAUCAUGUUGUAUCAGAGCACACUUGGAGGUUGAGUCGUUUCUGUCUGUCAUCUUGUUUUAAUUUUCAUAAUUAUUUGGCGUGUGCUA